GACGAACGCUGGCGGCGUGCUUAACACAUGCAUGUCGAACGGAAAGGCCCUGCUUUUGUGGGGUGCUCGAGUGGCGAACGGGUGAGUAACACGUGAGUAACCUGCCCUUGACUUUGGGAUAACUUCAGGAAACUGGGGCUAAUACCGGAUAGGAGCUCCUGCUGCAUGGUGGGGGUUGGAAAGUUUCGGCGGUUGGGGAUGGACUCGCGGCUUAUCAGCUUGUUGGUGGGGUAGUGGCUUACCAAGGCUUUGACGGGUAGCCGGCCUGAGAGGGUGACCGGCCACAUUGGGACUGAGAUACGGCACAGACUCCUACAGGAGGCAGCAGUGGGGAAUAUUGCACAAUGGGCUGAAGCCUGAUGCAGCAACGCCGCGUGCGGGAUGACGGCCUUCGGGUUGUAAACCGCUUUCGCCUGUGACGAAGCGUGAGUGGCGGUAAUGGGUAAAGAAGCACCGGCUAACUACGAG
rnacentral:rRNA from 1 species